GGGGGUGACUGGCUUCGACUUGAGUUAUUGUUGUAUAGGUGGCAUGUCGGGGAUGUCUGGUUGGCCUCGUUAAAAAUCCAGGCACAAAUAAACGCAAAACAGUUAAUGUUUAGCGACGCAGAAUUGGCUUUUGCUUCUUCGGAAGCACCGGCUGAACCUGCCUUAGUCUAAUCCCCAUCCGGGAUUAGCCCUUUUAUAGAGAAGGCCUGCUGCUCUAUAUAAAGGCCCAUAGCAGGAUAGUUUUCCGCUGCGUUUCCCGGCGGAAAACGAGAUUUUAGGAAACUGGUCCUGUUAAAUCCUGUCCGACGGAGUUAACAGGGUGAGAUUAAAAGACGGUCUAAACAUGUAGAGGCCUAUGCAAGGUAAUCCAAGGACCCGAGUUCAAUUCUCGGCACCUCCACCA
rnacentral:tmRNA from 1 species